rnacentral:lncRNA from 1 species
CGCACACACCUUACGGAGAUCGAAUCAGAUGAUCAAAUUUGAGAGAGAUUGUAACUCAAAAUCAUCAAAAUACAAAUAUUAUUUUGUGCACGUUGUUCUUGUCUCGUUCGUUUCAGGAAAAUUUCGUGUUCACAGGGCUGUCACAAUUAUUAUUUUAGGAGAAUAAAAAAAAAAGUAGUCCAUACGGAAGUACACAUAAUUAUGAUGAUGAUUUUAUGUAAUAGGAAGUAUAAAUUUACAUUUACAAAGUAUAAUUUGAAUUUGAAAAUUGUGGUUGUGAUAUAUCCGAUAUAUGGAAAAAGAAAAAGGAAAUUGUAAUUGUGAAACUUGUGAAACUUGUGACGUUGAACGAGCAACAAAGUUGGAAUGGAACAGUCUCACAGAGAUUUUUAAGUGCGACCGGUAUAUUGAAUGAUAAAUCACAUGUCAUUAUAUAAAUAGUGGGAUAUGUGUGCUAAAAAGUUAAUAAUUUAAAAAAUAAAUUCUCACAACUUUUAUUAAAACACGUGGUUUAUCACUUGUGUUUCCGUUACAACUAAAAAAUUUUCAACAGUCUUGACUCUCCUCGCGGACAUGCGGCCUUAAUUUGUUCUAAUCCCACACGUGUCAAGAAUAUACACUCAAAGCGGCUCCGAGCUUACGCCAUUGCCGCCCUUAAUAUUCUUCGCUUAAUAUUUAAUAUUCUUCGCUUUCCACCUCUACCAAUUCCCAUUCCCAUUCCCAUCGAUUUAAAACCACCAGCAGCAGCAUUGCUCAAAUCACCCUCCGCCUACACAAACACACACACACACACACACACACACACACAGAGGACCAAUCUCAAUGGCGGCGAGUACAGAGGGAGUGAUCAGCAACAAACAGGUGAUACUGAAAGACUAUGUGACCGGCUUCCCCAAAGAAUCUGACAUGCAACUCACCACCGCCACCACCAAGCUCAGGCUUCCAGAAGGUUCCAAAGGGGUUCUGGUGAAGAACCUCUACUUGUCCUGCGACCCUUAUAUGAGAAGCCGCAUGACCAAGCGUGAACCUGGCGCCAGUUAUGUUGAUUCCUUCGACGCCGGUUCGGUCAGUCACUGUAUAUAUUAUCUUACAUCUCUCUCUAAUUAUUUUAUUAUUUUUAGUGUAAUUUCUUCGUUUUAACUCAAUUUUGUUUAGUCUACAAAUUUAGUCUAUCUAGUCUCUGCCUGCCUUUUUAAUAUUUUGUUUCAAAUCAAAGUUGAAUACUUUUAUAUCUCUAGGUUAGGAUAGUUGGUAACGCGGUGUGCCCUUCCACUUUUAUUCAAUUUCAAAAUUAGGGGCUCCGUAAUUUAGGGUUGUUCAAUUGGGAUCAGAGGGAUUUUAAUGGAUUUAUAAAUUCAUGAAUUUUGAUGAAGUUUAAUUGAUUUAUAAAGAUUUUAAGUACAAUUUUGAGUGAAUUCUCUCGAAUGCUCAGGGAUAUCUGUGAAAUUUGAGCAUGUUUAAAUUACACUUAGAAAUCUCUCUAAUUCUCUCCAAUUCCGCAACUUUUUAAAAUCUUUUAAAAUCAAUUUCUAAUGAAAUACACCCAGAAUGUUAUAACAUCCUUUAUAAUUUGAUUAAAUACAUCUAGAUUUCAGAGACUCACUUAAAAUCACGAUUGAAUACCAUAAUUCGAAUACCGUAUUGUAAAAUAUAUAAAUAAAAUUGAAUCCUUGAGGCAUUUCUCAUGUAGUACAAACGGAACUGAUGAAGAACCCAAUUAUUAAUCUUGUUUUGUAGAUAGCCUUUUUGUUCGGAUGGUGUAAUCCAAAUUUAUCUUGUUUGUGGUUUUGGGGCUGUUUUAAUGAUUUAUAUAGUUUGAGACAACUUGUAAUUCGCGGUUUUUGAUGAUACAAUGCUAUACUUAUAUCAGUUAUAUCUUAUCAAUACUGAGACAUAGCUUCCUUAUUAAUUGGCAUUCUAUCCAACGAAAAAGCUUUGUUUAUGCUAUGUACAGAUCAUAAAAAGGAUAGCAUCUAUUCGAUGUUGUAGUUUUAUUUGACGUGUUUGAUUAUUGAAAUGCUGGUGUGGCAGCCUAUAGUCGGAUAUGGAGUCGCCAAAGUUUUGGAAUCCGGGGAUCCCAAGUUUAAGAAAGGCGAAUUGAUUUGGGGAAUGACCGGGUGGGAGGAAUACAGCGUCAUCACUUCAACAGAGUCUUUGUUUAAGAUUCAGCACACUGAUGUGCCUCUCUCUUACUAUACUGGAAUUCUUGGUAUGUUGUUAUAUAUUGGUUAUUGCUAUUUUCCUUGCCUUUGGAUUUAUUUUUUAAAAUUUUGUUAUGCCACAAGCAGCUAUCUCAAAGUCUUGUAUCUUUUAUGAUGGUACUUGAAUAUAGCGAGCUAAGGAACCUGAACUUCACAAGGGCCUAACCCGUUGGAUGAAAUUCGUGAAUCAUUUUUGUAUGUCAUGGAUUGUAUUGAAUUCUUGUUGCAUGUUUGAGUACCCUAGUUUCAUUGGACUAUUCUCAUGCUAACUUCAGGAGCGAAUAGAUUGUGUCAUAAUAAUCUUUUUAUUAAAAGUAGCAUUUCCUCAUGGAAGGAUUCUGUAUGGUUGUAUAUAUCCCUAGUUGUGAUCUGCCUCCACUCCAGUGACAUCUAUUAUACUACUUGAAGUGAACUGAUUUGUUAAUUCUCAAAUCUCUUUGUAAACUAGAUCUUUACAACAGAUGUCCCAUAUUCUUUUCAUAAUUAGUAAUUUGAUUUGGAAGUACGGAAAUUAUUUAGCAUAACGUAAUUCUAGUUCAAUUGGUCAUAUGGAUCUGUAGCAUUGUUCUCAUGUUGAAUGCAAUUGUUGAAGCGAUCCAUCCUAAUUAAUUCAUCCAAAUAUUCAGUUAUAUGGCUUUGUAAUGCAUGAUAUAUUUACUGGAUGCUCAAUGCUCAUCAAUGUAUCCAUUUUAUGUAGGUAUGCCUGGAAUGACUGCUUAUGCUGGGUUUUAUGAGAUCUGCAAUCCCAAGAAGGGAGAGACGGUCUUCGUUUCAGCAGCAUCUGGAGCAGUAGGUCAGCUUGUUGGCCAAUUUGCAAAGUUGUUGGGUUGCUAUGUUGUUGGAAGUGCUGGAAGCAAAGAAAAGGUGAGUUAUGGUCGAUUCCAACUCUAUCUUAGUUGGCAUUUCUGUGAUUGCAACUCCAUUGGAUGAUUAUCCUUGUUUUAGAAACACGAGUUAGUGAUGUGUGCCAAAUUUGUGACUGGAAACGUUUUGACUAAUAGAAAACAGGAAAAUAAGAGAGAACAUGUUGGAAAGUAAAGAUAUUGCUGACCCUUUAUCUUCAUAAUCAAGUUAGUAAAUUCAGCUUUAACCUGCUGUCUCAUCUUGUUGGCAAAAUGUUCAUAUCAUAUGAAAUCGUAAGCAUAUGCAACUUAGAAAAUCGCACAGAAUGUGCAUCUAUGAGCUUUCCUGUUCUCAUUCUACAAUUUACGUAUUACAAAUGACUAUUUUAUACCCAUUCUUGGCAUAUUUUAAUAAUAUCGUAUCAUUUCUGAGUUUAGGUUGAUCUGCUGAAGAACAAGUUUGGGUUUGACAACGCUUUCAAUUAUAAAGAAGAACCUGAUUUGGAUGCAGCUUUGAAAAGGUCAGUUGAUCAGAAUCAAACUAUUAUUUUAUAGCUUUGACUAUCAAACUAUUAUUUUAAAGCUUUAACUUAUGUCUUAAUUACAAGGGGAAAGUCCAAUAAAAGGCAUUAGCAAUCUCUAACAUCAUCAAGAUUUAGUGAUUUAGCCGCCAAUCCUAAAACAGUGAGAGUAAGUUGAAAUGCGCAACAGUGUGAGCAUGUGGCUGUUGACGAAAAACUCAUGUCUUUGUCCUCUUUGUAGAUAUGUUCCAUGGUUUUCAGUGUUUGCUUAGUCUAAAAUUGUGAUUUUCUCACCAGGUACUUUCCUGAAGGCAUUGACAUAUACUUUGAAAACGUUGGGGGGGAAAUGCUUGAUGCAGUGCUACAAAACAUGAGGGUCCAUGGCCGGAUUGCAGUUUGUGGGUUGAUAUCGCAGUACAACAUUGACGAGCCUGAAGGUUGUCGCAAUUUAAUAUAUCUGAUCAGUAAACAGGUUCGCAUGCAAGGUUUCCUGGUUUUUAGUUACUACCAUCUUUACGAGAAGUUUCUUGAAAUGGUUCUGCCGGCAAUAAAAGAAGGGAAGAUAACGUAUGUGGAAGACGUAGUGGAAGGACUUGAGAGCGCUCCAGCCGCUCUGAUAGGGCUCUAUGCCGGCCGCAAUGUAGGAAAGCAGGUGGUUGUGGUUUCCCGUGAAUGAUUUCAUCAGGCUCUCCAUGCCUCCGAAGUAUCACCCUUUAGCUAUAUGGUGUAAUCGUCUAGUGUGAAAUGCAAAUGCUUUGACAUUUACAAGUUCAUAUUCUACAGGUUUAGGGCAAGCAUAUUAUCUCGACGAGAACUGUGCUUGAUCUCUUACCUUAAGCUAUAAAUAAAUGUCUUUCGACUUCCUUAAUGAUAUCAAGCACUAAGUUUAGUAGAUCUUUCAAUUGUGUAAGAGGUUUUAUUUAUUUAUUGAAUAAAUGAUAUUAUCUACAUUAAGAGGAAGGGACAGCUUCACAAUGGGUUAGUAAUAAUGUGGUUCAAAUUUGCUUUUGUCAAGAAUUGAACCUAAGACAUCUCACUUAUAAAUGAAGAAGAAUAAUACUAGAUCUUACUAGUCCUAAGUGGUAUGUCAAACGAAUGUUGACUUUUCUUUUUACUUUUUGGCUAACGGACCCUCCUUGUCAAAAUAUUGAAUAAGCAAACAAGUUGGAAAGUACAAGUCUCGGCUUUCAGAUUUGGAUCCUUCGCUGUGCCUCCUACGCAAAGCACACAAGCCGUUGGAUCAAAAUUCAACGGUUACAAUUAUUAUAACUUUUAGAAGAUCCUUUUGUUUGUAUCCGUUGGAUUAAAAUCCAACAGUUCGUGUGCUUUGCUCAAAAGGCUUAACCUACCAAGCUCAGGAGAGGAUCCAACGGCCAGUAUCAUGACUUCGGUGACUAGCAGAUGUGUAUCCUUAGAGGGAGGGUGAAAAAUAAUUUUGCAUUCGUGUAAGUUGGAAAAGAUUCAAUUGCCUUAUAUGGAAAAAAGUUCUAUGACCAAUUUGCAAAAACUUCCAACAUACGUUCAUGAAAAAAAAUGCACAAUUUGCAUCUCUAAAUAAUAUACAAAGUACGAUGCAAAUGUUAUUUCUAAACUUUCUAAGCAAUUUUGUUAUUUUAAUUAGGAUCCUUAUUUUAUAUUACUGUUUUCAAUGAUUAUUUUGAACAACAAUAUACAAACCACGAUGUCUAUCUUAAAGGAUUCUUGAACGUACUUAGGUAAAUUGCUUACAACCUUUAUAUUUGGAAUUGUGCAUUAUAGUUAAACUUCUUAUUUUAUCAUCAUUACUUGUAGAUUAACCAUGAAAAUCUAAAGCAUCAAGUGCAAGCAAAUGGGUGGCAAGUAUGGCUUUGAUUUCACACGUAGACACUAUGUUUACAUAUGUACAUGUUGUCCAUAUGUUGCUUGCUUCAUAUAUUAGGAGUUCAUCCCUAGUUAGCCUAUAACUUUGGCUGAAAACUUAUGAAUCUGAAAAUUUUGAUUUAAGGACUUGGGUAGAUAUUUGACAUUUUGCAUGAGAGAGAAAGGAAGAAAGAUUUAUUAUGUUCUCCAUUUUGUGUUUUUCCAGUCUUGAAUUCUAGGAAAGUAAGAUUAGGGAUUGAGGCCCAGCAAAUUAAGCUUUAGAAGAAGUACGAGGCCAAGGUCCCCUACUCCUGUCAUCAAAAGCUUCAUUUUACAGCACCCUUUAUGCAUUGAUGUUCACGUUCUAAAAAAAAUGACACCAGCAAACCAAAAAAAAACGCGGAGAGGCUAGUAAAAAUAAUAAGGCAAGUGGAUGUUUUUAGAAAUUGCAAAAAAUUAUAUUCGAAGGUAGUUUCAAAUUUCACAUAUUUUUGUCUGUGUCAGCUUAAUUUUGUUUUUUUCAUGUCAAUUUUGACAUUUCGGUUGGAGUAAAUGAUAAGUCGUUUAUUAUCGUUAUAUAUCUAUGGGAGAUUUUUUAUUUUCCACCGCUUGCAAUUCCCAUUCCCAUUGCUUUGCAAUCAUCAGCAGUAGCAUUGCUUAUAUCGUCUUACGCCUACAGAGAGAGAAUCAAUCUCAAUGGCGGCAAGUACAGAGGAAGUGAUCAGCAACAAACAGGUGGUACUGACUCUACCGAGAGACCAUGUGACUAGCUUCCCCAAAGAAUCUGACAUGCAACUCACCACCACCACCACCAAGCUCAAGCUUCCAGAAGGUUCCAAAGGGGUUUCGGUGAAGAACCUAUACUUGUACUGCGACCCUUGUAUGAGAGGCUGCAUGAC